UUGAACGCUGGCGGCAGGCCUAACACAUGCCAGUCGAACGGUAACAGGAAGCAGCUUGCUGCUUUGCUGACGAGUGGCGGACGGGUGAGUAAUGUCUGGGAAACUGCCCGAUGGAGGGGGAUAACUACUGGAAACGGUAGCUAAUACCGCAUAACGUCGCAAGACCAAAGAGGGGGACCUUAGGGCCUCUUGCCAUCGGAUGUGCCCAGAUGGGAUUAGCUAGUAGGUGGGGUAACGGCUCACCUAGGCGACGAUCCCUAGCUGGUCUGAGAGGAUGACCAGCCACACUGGAACUGAGACACGGUCCAGACUCCUACGGGAGGCAGCAGUGGGGAAUAUUGCACAAUGGGCGCAAGCCUGAUGCAGCCAUGCCGCGUGUAUGAAGAAGGCCUUCGGGUUGUAAAGUACUUUCAGCGGGGAGGAAGGGAGUAAAGUUAAUACCUUUGCUCAUUGACGUUACCCGCAGAAGAAGCACCGGCUAACUCCGUG
rnacentral:rRNA from 1 species